rnacentral:rRNA from 1 species
CCUACGGGAGGCAGCAGUGAGGAAUAUUGGUCAAUGGACGAGAGUCUGAACCAGCCAAGUAGCGUGAAGGAUGACUGCCCUAUGGUUUGUACACUUCUUUUAUAAAGGAAUAAAACGAGGCACGUGUGCCUUUUUGCAUGUACUUUAUGAAUAAGGAUCGGCUAACUCCGUGCCAGCAGCCGCGGUAAUACGGAGGGUCCGAGCGUUAUCCGGAUUUAUUGGGUUUAAAGGGCGCGUAGAUGGGUUGUUAAGUCAGUUGUGAAAGUUUGCGGCUCAACCGUAAAAUUGCAAUUGAUACUGGCAGUCUUGAGUACAGUUGAGGUAGGCAGAAUUCGUGGUGUAGCGGUGAAAUGCUUAGAUAUCACGAAGAACCCCGAUUGUGAAGGCAGCUUACUAAACUGUGACUGACAUUGAUGCUCGAAAGUGUGGGGAUCAAACAGGAUUAGAUACCCCUGUAGUC